rnacentral:rRNA from 1 species
CCUACGGGUGGCAGCAGUGAGGAAUAUUGCGCAAUGGGCGAAAGCCUGACGCAGCGACGCCGCGUGAGGGAUGAAGGUCUUCGGAUCGUAAACCUCUGUCAGCAGGGAAGAACGGUCACUGUGCUAAUCAGCAGUGAAUUGACGGUACCUGCAAAGGAAGCACCGGCUAACUCCGUGCCAGCAGCCGCGGUAAUACGGAGGGGGCGUGCGUUGAUCGGAAGUACUGGGCGUAAAGCGCUCGUAGGCGGUAUGUCAAGUCAAGGGUGAAAGCCCCGCGCCCACCGUGGGAACUGCCUUUGAAACUGGCAAACUGGAGUGUGUGAGAGGAUAGUGGAAUUCCAGGUGUAGGAGUGAAAUCCGUAGAUAUCUGGAUGAACAUCAGUGGCGAAGGCGACUAUCUGGCACAUAACUGACGCUGAGGAGCGAAAGCGUGGGUAGCAAACAGGAUUAGAUACCCGUGUAGUC